UCCGGAAUUAUUGGGCGUAAAGCGCGCGCAGGUGGUUUCUUAAGUCUGAUGUGAAAGCCCACGGCUCAACCGUGGAGGGUCAUUGGAAACUGGGAGACUUGAGUGCAGAAGAGGAAAGUGGAAUUCCAUGUGUAGCGGUGAAAUGCGUAGAGAUAUGGAGGAACACCAGUGGCGAAGGCGACUUUCUGGUCUGUAACUGACACUGAGGCGCGAAAGCGUGGGGAGCAAACAGG
rnacentral:ncRNA from 2 species